CCUACGGGAGACUGCAGUGGGGAAUAUUGCGCAAUGGGCGAAAGCCUGACGCAGCGACGCCGCGUGAGGGAUGAAGGUCUUCGGAUCGUAAACCUCUGUCAGCAGGGAAGAACGGUCACUGUGCUAAUCAGCAGUGAAUUGACGGUACCUGCAAAGGAAGCACCGGCUAACUCCGUGCCAGCAGCCGCGGUAAUACGGAGGGUGCGAGCGUUAAUCGGAAUUACUGGGCGUAAAGCGCUCGUAGGCGGUAUGUCAAGUCAAGGGUGAAAUCCCCGCGCUCAACGUGGGAACUGCCUUUGAAACUGGCAAACUGGAGUGUGGGAGAGGAUAGUGGAAUUCCAGGUGUAGGAGUGAAAUGCGUAGAUAUCUGGAGGAAUAUCAGUGGCGAAGGCGACUAUCUGGCACAUAACUGACGCUGAGGAGCGAAAGCGUGGGGAGCAAACAGGAUUAGAUACCCCUGUAGUC
rnacentral:rRNA from 1 species